rnacentral:rRNA from 1 species
UACAGAGGGGGCAAGCGUUGUCCGGAUUGACUGGGCGUAAAGCGCACGCAGGUGGCGCGCAACGUGGGAUGUGAAAGCGGGCGGCUCAACCGCCCGAGGCCAUGCCAAACGAGCGUGCUAGAGCCAUGUAGAGGGUGGUGGAAUUGCCGGUGUAGUGGUGAAAUGCGUGGAGAUCGGCAGGAACACCAAGGGGGAAGCCAGCCACCUGGGCAUGGGCCGACACUCAAGUGCGAAAGCGUGGGGAGCGAACUGG